UAUUUUUUAUUUACCAUGUUCAUUGAAGGUUUUGAACAAAUUUCAUUUGACAACUACACAAACACAGACAACUACACAGCCGCCGACAACAACUACUACACAAUCUUCGACAACAACACAACCACCGACAUCUACACGACAAUCAACAUCUACACAACCAUCGACAACUACACAACCACCGACAACUACACAACCACCGACAUCUACACAACCACCGACAAUUACACAGCCAACGACAACAACUACUACUUCACAAACACCGACAACAACACAACCACCGACAAUUACACAAAAUACAACAUCUACACAACCAACGACAACUACACAACAAAUACCAAGUACACAACCAAUGACAACAACCACUACACAACCAACGACAUCUACACAACCACCUACAACAACCACUACACUACCAACGACAACUACACAACCACCUUCAACGACAACUUCACAACCAACGUCAUCUACACCAAUAACAAACACACAAACAACUGCGAAACACACAUCAAGACAAACAACACUUACACUGAACGUUACAGUACGGACUUCCAAUCCAGUUACUCAUCCUAGAUCCACAACCACAUCUGCUCCAGUGACAACCCCAAUAGCUAUCGCUUCCACCACAUUGAAUGAAUUUGGUUGUCCUGCUUUCCCAUCGGACUGCCCAUCGUCCUGCAGUGAUCUCGAUGCCAACUUCUGUCCAAUUUGUAAUUGUGCUGCGGGUUCGGUGACGACCACGCCCAAGCCCACGGGCUGUCCCCAGGUACAGUGUCUGCUGGACUGCGGGGAUCCGCCCAAGUUUGUCAAGGAUUCCCAGGGCUGCGACCUGUGUCAGUGCGACUUUGGACGAUAGAAGACCUCGGGAUUGCUUUAGCAUGCAUACAUACACAUUUCAUUUCCUGUGGUUGACUAUUACAGAAACGUUUGCGAUAAACAUUUUAUAUUCGUGUUUUAUUUGACUGUUAAAGAAACAUUUGCGAUUUACAACACUUCAUGAAAUGACAUUGUGUUAGUGUUAUGAAAAAAAGGACCAUAGGUCAAUGUUUCCAAUCGGCGUUCUGUUUGAAUUCGAAGCAAGAUAUGUGAAAUAGAAUGAUAAAUAAGAAUGUGCAACGUAUUGAUGUAAUAAAACUUUACUGCCUU